rfam:Prunus persica cultivar Lovell chromosome G1, whole genome shotgun sequence.
ACAUUUUCAGUUGCUGAAUGCUCGGAUUUCGAUUUGGGCAUUUUGAUUCAUUCUUAAUUGAAUAGGAAGAUCUGAUGC